GGAUAGCCUCAUAACAGAUGUCAAUUAAUGACUCUCUUUGUGUCCGAAGCCGCUGGUAGGAGUGGGUACCAUAAUAGGUAAACAUUGCUGUAUCUCGGAAACCAAACUGUUUUCAUUUGUAAGUUUACUCAGAGUGUCAUGAUAUUGAUACUUUAUUAGAGAGACAGCCUUUUCUAUAAUGCUGCAUGUCAUUGAAACUUGGGUUAAAGCUGUGCUCCCUAUGCUAUGACCGUCUCUGCAGCAGGACAUUCCAUAUGAAAUCCUAUCGUUGACAAAGGAGACACCAUGGAAUGCUAAGAACAGGGCUGUAGUUUGUAUUUCUUCUAGA